rnacentral:lncRNA from 1 species
AAGCCAGCGUCCCUAGGCGCAGCCGGGCGCAGAGCGACGCCGUAUGGCGUCGACGUCGCGAGCUCGAUCCCAACUUUUCUCUCUGUUUCUCUAUCUCUCUCUCUCUCUCUCUCUUUGGUUAACUCUUCUUUCGGCCAACGUCACACCGGAAGAUCACAGUGUACACACUUCUUUGCGAUCCUCGCGCUCUGUAUUUCUCUAAGGAACGACCAUACCGACGAAACUGGACGAAGAGAGAAGGUGCAAGAGAGAGAAAUAAGGAUAAGGGGAGAGGGAAAUGGAGAAGUGUGCGCGCGAGAAAGAGACAGAGAGAGGGAAAGGGAGCAAGCUCAGGAGCAGUAAGGGAGAGAACUUUCGUUAUCGCGCCGCGAGUGACGCGCUGCCCUCGGAGCGUCGCGACGCCGCCAGACGCCCGACAGUCGUCAGUCAGACGCGCCACGGUUGUCUCGUACACUGACCGGUUUUCGUAACCGCCGCUGCACUUCGCGCUCGUCCUUCGAAGGAUUCGCGUAUUCUUCCUCCACGCCUCUCUCUCCUCUUCCUCCCUCUGUUUUCCCGUGUCGCAACCAGAAGACCACUCGGUAAAAUUUUUCAACCAUAGACACCGACCGGACAUCGUACGUACGUACGUUCCUUCUUUUCUGCAUUCUUCCGAGCCACGACUCGCUUUUCUCCUUUCUCCCCGGUGUCCCGUCUCUGUUAAGAGUCGUGGCUCGUGGACACGAGUCGCGCACCGUGAACGUCACUCGUCGCACGUAUACCGAGCCGAGCUGUCAUUCUCGAGAAACCGACUGCUUUCAGUGAAUGACACCCGCCGUAUUCGAAUUGAAUUUUCAACGUGCUGGACUAUGCUAAAUUUUUCAACUCGAUGGAUAUUCUGAACGGACUUUUUAGAAGCUAUACAUCGACAGAGAGAAUGGAUUAGAAGCUGUUUGAUGGCGGAAAAGAGGAUUGUGGAGGAUAUGGCUCUUGAGGAUAUUAUUACGAAAAAUUUUAAAAGACCAUCGAAUACCCUAAUAAUAGGCAACCGGAUUAACAUAAUGGUAGACGGGGCGAACAGGUUUAAAUUAUAUAUGCAAAUUGCAUACGAUCUUCAAGCGAUAAAUGUCAUCGUCUUACCUUCGUUUCCAGUGGUUUCUUCUGCAUGGUGUUGUGGAAUAAUCGAGGUCAUCAUGCAUAAAUGACGUCUUCGAAUGGAUUAUCCAAUUCUUGGCAAGUGUUUUCGGAUAGUGAUAACUGGGGCCAUAUCUCGACGAGGAAUGUGAAACCCCCUGUACGUAUACUGAAUGUAUCCUGAGUGUAUUUCUGUCCGGUAUACCUUCAGUAUACGUAACAGGAGGCUACACCGAACUACGCUGGAUGUCAUCAUGGAUCUCGUUGAUAUCCGCCAGUAAUCGUAAAUCCAUUUUAAACGGAUUACGAUGCGAUAGCUAUCUUUAUUACCAAUAUAGUUUAGAGCACUUGUGUACAUCAUCGCCUUGCAUAAAUUGGAACUGUAAUUUAUUAUAUUUUGUACAUAUUUAUAUUCGACGACUGAAUUACAAUUCGAUUGUAUAUCUUGUUAAAACUAAUGGAACUUGUUAGGUUAUGUGUUUACUUGCUUGCGAGAGAAGGAAGUGAGAUUAAAAUAAAUGAACAAUCGAUGUUGUAAAUUAUGAUUUGUGUACUUGAGAAAGAAAUAAUUGUUAGGUUAUGUAAGUUGCGAUGCAGAAUAAGUGAGGUUAAGGUAGUUGAUUUUAUGGAUGAUUGUAGAUUGUUUUGUAUUGUGUUGAUUAUUGAAAUAUUUUUAAAAUAAGAAAAUAAGUU